rnacentral:rRNA from 1 species
UACGUAGGGUGCAAGCGUUAUCCGGAAUUAUUGGGCGUAAAGAGCUCGUAGGCGGUUUGUCGCGUCUGCUGUGAAAACUGGGGGCUCAACCCCCAGCCUGCAGUGGGUACGGGCAGACUAGAGUGCGGUAGGGGAGAUUGGAAUUCCUGGUGUAGCGGUGGAAUGCGCAGAUAUCAGGAGGAACACCGAUGGCGAAGGCAGAUCUCUGGGCCGUAACUGACGCUGAGGAGCGAAAGCAUGGGGAGCGAACAGGAUAGAU